rnacentral:rRNA from 1 species
AGAGUUUGAUCCUGGCUCAGAUUGAACGCUGGCGGUAUGCUUAACACAUGCAAGUCGAACGGUAACAGCGGAGCUUGCUCUGGCUGACGAGUGGCGGACGGGUGAGUAACGCGUAGGAAUUUGCCUAGUAGUGGGGGACAACCUGGUGAAAACCAGGCUAAUACCGCAUACGCCCUACGGGGGAAAGUGGGGGCUCUUCGGACCUCACGCUAUUAGAUGAGCCUGCGUCAGAUUAGCUAGUUGGUAGGGUAAAGGCCUACCAAGGCGACGAUCUGUAGCUGGUCUGAGAGGACGACCAGCCACACUGGGACUGAGACACGGCCCAGACUCCUACGGGAGGCAGCAGUGAGGAAUAUUGCACAAUGGGCGAAAGCCUGAUGCAGCAACGCCGCGUGUGCGAUGAAGGCCUUCGGGUUGUAAAGCACUUUUCUGAGGGAAGAGGAAGGACGGUACCUCAGGAAUAAGUCUCGGCUAACUACGUGCCAGCAGCCGCGGUAACACGUAGGAGGCAAGCGUUAUCCGGAUUUACUGGGCGUAAAGCGCGUGUAGGCGGUUUGGCAAGUCGGAUGUGAAAGCUCCUGGCUCAACUGGGAGAGGUCGUUCGAAACUGCUAGACUAGAGGACGGUAGAGGAAGAUGGAAUUCCCGGUGUAGUAGUGAAAUGCGUAGAUAUCGGGAGGAACACCAGUGGCGAAGGCGGUACCCUGGCCCGAUACUGACGCUGAGGCGCGAAAGCGUGGGGAGCGAACAGGAUUAGAUACCCUGGUAGUCCACGCCCUAAACGAUGAUCACUAGAUGCUGGAAGAUUCGACCCUUUCAGUGUCGUAGCUAACGCGUUAAGUGAUCCGCCUGGGGAGUACGAUCGCAAGGUUGAAACUCAAAGGAAUUGACGGGGGCCCGCACAAGCGGUGGAGCAUGUGGUUUAAUUCGAUGAUACGCGAGGAACCUUACCUGGGCUCAAAUGUAAGUUGACAGUUUCUGAAAGGGAAUUUUCUUCGGACAAUUUACAAGGUGCUGCAUGGUUGUCGUCAGCUCGUGCCGUGAGGUGUCGGGUUAAGUCCCAUAACGAGCGCAACCCCUACUCUUAGUUGCCAUCAGAUAAUGCUGGGGACUCUAGGAGAACUGCCUACGCAAGUAGAGAGGAAGGUGGGGAUGACGUCAAAUCAGCACGGCCCUUACGUCCAGGGCUACACACGUGCUACAAUGGCCGGUACAGAGGGCAGCCACCUGGUGACAGGGAGCGAAUCUCUAAAGCCGGUCUCAGUUCGGAUCGAAGUCUGCAACCCGACUUCGUGAAGCUGGAAUCGCUAGUAAUCGCGCAUCAGCCAUGGCGCGGUGAAUACGUUCCCGGGCCUUGUACACACCGCCCGUCAAGCCAUGGAAGCUGGGGGUACCUGAAGUCGGUGACCAUUUAGGAGCCGCCUAGGGUAAAACUAGUGACUGGGGCUAAGUCGUAACAAGGUAACC